rnacentral:rRNA from 2 species
AAAGUCUGAUGGAGCAACGCCGCGUGAGUGAAGAAGGGUUUCGGCUCGUAAAACUCUGUUGUUAAAGAAGAACAUAUCUGAGAGUAACUGUUCAGGUAUUGACGGUAUUUAACCAGAAAGCCACGGCUAACUACGUGCCAGCAGCCGCGGUAAUACGUAGGUGGCAAGCGUUGUCCGGAUUUAUUGGGCGUAAAGCGAGCGCAGGCGGUUUUUUAAGUCUGAUGUGAAAGCCUUCGGCUCAACCGAAGAAGUGCAUCGGAAACUGGGAAACUUGAGUGCAGAAGAGGACAGUGGAACUCCAUGUGCAGCGGUGAAAUGCGUAGAUAUAUGGAAGAACACCAGUGGCGAAGGCGGCUGUCUGGUCUGUAACUGACGCUGAGGCUCGAAAGUAUGGGUAGCAAACAGGAUUAGAUACCCUGGUAGUCCAUACCGUAAACGAUGAAUGCUAAGUGUUGGAGGGUUUCCGCCCUUCAGUGCUGCAGCUAACGCAUUAAGCAUUCCGCCUGGGGAGUACGGCCGCAAGGCUGAAAUCAAAGGAAUUGACGGGGGCCCGCACAAGCGGUGGAGCUGUGGUUUAAUUCGAAGC